rnacentral:rRNA from 1 species
UACGUAGGGUGUAGGCGUUAAUCGGAAUUACUGGGCGUAAAGCGUGCGCAGGCGGUUUGCUAAGACAGGUGUGAAAUCCCCGGGCUUAACCUGGGAACUGCGCUUGUUACUGGCAGGCUUGAGUGUGGCAGAGGGGGGUGGAAUUCCACGUGUAGCAGUGAAAUGCGUAGAUAUCAGGAGGAAUACCGAUGGCGAAGGCAGGUCUCUGGGCUGACACUGACGCUCAUGCACGAAAGCGUGGGGAGCAAACAGG